GAGCCAACCUUGAAAUACCACCCUUUAAUGUUUGAUGUUCUAACGUUGGCCCCUUACCGGGGUUGCGGACAGUGUCUGGUGGGUAGUUUGACUGGGGCGGUCUCCUCCCAAAGCGUAACGGAGGAGCACGAAGGUUAGCUAAUCCUGGUCGGACAUCAGGAGGUUAGUGCAAUGGCAUAAGCUAGCUUGACUGCGAGCGUGACGGCGCGAGCAGGUGCGAAAGCAGGUCAUAGUGAUCCGGUGGUUCUGAAUGGAAGGGCCAUCGCUCAACGGAUAAAAGGUACUCCGGGGAUAACAGGCUG
rnacentral:rRNA from 1 species